GAUGAACGCUGGCGGCGUGCCUAAUACAUGCAAGUCGAGCGAACAGACGAGAGUGCUUGCACUCUCUGACGUUAGCGGCGGACGGGUGAGUAACACGUGGGUAACCUACCUAUAAGACUGGGAUAACUUCGGGAAACCGGAGCUAAUACCGGAUAAUAUUUAGCUUCGCAUGAAGCAAUAGUGAAAGACGGUUCUGCUGUCACUUAUAGAUGGACCCGCGGUGUAUUAGCUAGUUGGUGAGGUAACGGCUCACCAAGGCAACGAUACAUAGCCGACCUGAGAGGGUGAUCGGCCACACUGGGACUGAGACACGGCCCAGACUCCUACGGGAGGCAGCAGUAGGGAAUCUUCCGCAAUGGACGAAAGUCUGACGGAGCAAUGCCGCGUGAGUGAAGAAGGUUUUCGGAUCGUAAAACUCUGUUGUAAGGGAAGAACAAGCACGUUAGUAACUGAACGUACCUUGACGGUACCUUACCAGAAAGCCACGGCUAACUACGUG
rnacentral:rRNA from 1 species